GACGAACGCUGGCGGCGUGCUUAACACAUGCAAGUCGAACGGAAAGGCCCUGCUUUUGUGGGGUGCUCGAGUGGCGAACGGGUGAGUAACACGUGAGUAACCUGCCCUUGACUUUGGGAUAACUUCAGGAAACUGGGGCUAAUACCGGAUAGGAGCUCCUGCUGCAUGGUGGGGGUUGGAAAGUUUCGGCGGUUGGGGAUGGACUCGCGGCUUAUCAGCUUGUUGGUGGGGUAGUGGCUUACCAAGGCUUUGACGGGUAGCCGGCCUGAGAGGGUGACCGGCCACAUUGGGACUGAGAUACGACGCAGACUCCUACGGGAGACAGCAGUGGAGAAUAUUGCACAAUGGGCGGAAGCCUGAUGCAGCAACGCCGCGUGCGGGAUGACGGCCUUCGGGUUGUAAACCGCUUUCGCCUGUGACGAAGCGUGAGUGACGGUAAUGGGUAAAGAAGCACCGGCUAACUACGUG
rnacentral:rRNA from 1 species